GACGAACGCUGGCGGCGUGCCUAAUACAUGCAAGUAGAACGCACAGUUUAUACCGUAGCUUGCUACACCAUAGACUGUGAGUUGCGAACGGGUGAGUAACGCGUAGGUAACCUGCCUGGUAGCGGGGGAUAACUAUUGGAAACGAUAGCUAAUACCGCAUAAUAUUGAUUAUUGCAUGAUAAUUGAUUGAAAGAUGCUAUUGCAUCACUACCAGAUGGACCUGCGUUGUAUUAGCUAGUAGGUGAGGUAACGGCUCACCUAGGCGACGAUACAUAGCCGACCUGAGAGGGUGAUCGGCCACACUGGGACUGAGACACGGCCCAGACUCCUACGGGAGGCAGCAGUAGGGAAUCUUCGGCAAUGGACGAAAGUCUGACCGAGCAACGCCGCGUGAGUGAAGAAGGUUGUCGGAUCGUAAAGCUCUGUUGUAAGAGAAGAACGGGGGUGAGAGUGGAAAGUUCACACUGUGACGGUAUCUUACCAGAAAGGGACGGCUAACUACGUG
rnacentral:rRNA from 1 species